rnacentral:rRNA from 1 species
CCUGGUUGAUCCUGCCAGUAGUCAUAUGCUUGUCUCAAAGAUUAAGCCAUGCAUGUCUCAGUUCAGGCCUUAAUACGGUGAGACCGCGAAUGGCUCAUUAAAUCAGCUAUGGUUUAUUGGAUCGUGCCCGUUAGAUGGAUAACUGUAAUAACUCUAGAGCUAAUACAUGCCGCGAUGCCCUGACCCUGCUCAUGUUUGCCUUGCUUGCAUGGGGUGGGGGAUGGGUGCACUUAUUAGAUCAGAAGCCAACCAAUUGUGCGUGUGCGGCCUACCGCGAGGUGGUCGUCGCGCGCGUUGAGGCGCCCACUUCUGGUGACUCUGGAUAAUUGUUACAGAUCGCAGUCGGCGUUGAGUCGGCGACGGGUCCUUCAAAUGUCUGCCCUAUCAACUUUCGAUGGUAGGUGACCUGCCUACCAUGGUGGUAACGGGUAACGGGGAAUCAGGGUUCGAUUCCGGAGAGGGAGCCUGAGAAACGGCUACCACUUCCAAGGGAGGCAGCAGGCGCGCAAAUUACCCACUCCCAGCACGGGGAGGUGGUGACGAAAAAUACCGAUGCGGGACUCCUUCAAGAGGCUCCGUAAUCGGAAUGAGUGGACUCUAAACCCCUUCACGAGGAUCAAUUGGAGGGCAAGUCUGGUGCCAGCAGCCGCGGUAACUCCAGCUCCAAUAGCGUAUAUUAAAGUUGCUGCAGUUAAAAAGCUCGUAGUUGGAUCUCGGUAGCAUUGUUGCCUGUUGGUGAUUGGGCGGCAGGUGUGUGGUUAUGGGUGCGCAGUUUCCCCGGCGUCUGCGUGCUAGUGGGCCGGUGGGUGGUUCGGUUGGUGGGUUGGGCAGUUGCUCACUUGCCGUCCGGUCUGCUUGCUGGCUUGGUCAUUCAUUUGCAGCGGUGUUUGGGGGCGCUGUGUGGUCGUGGCCGUGAGCAAGCACUGUCGCGUCAAGCCGACAAGGCGGUGGUGUCACCUUGAAGCCAUGUCUGUGGUGUAGUAGUCGCAGGUGUGGGCGGGUGUUGGGCAGUGCUCUGCACGUGCUGUGGAGCCUGUCGGCUCGUCCGCAUGCCUUCGGAUGCCCUUGAUUGGGUGUCUGCGGGCGGAUGGCACGUUU